rnacentral:rRNA from 1 species
CCUACGGGAGGCAGCAGUGGGGAAUAUUGGGCCAUGGAGGCAACUCUGACCCAGCAAUGCCGCGUGCGUGAUGACGGUAAUUUUAUUUUAAAGCUCUUUUUGUUGGAACGAAAAAAUGACUAUAUCAAAGGAUUAAGCCCCGGCUAACUACGUGCCAGCAGCCGCGGUAAUACGUAGGGGGCAAGCGUUGAUCGGAAUGCCUGGGCGGAAAGGGUGUGUAGGUGGUUUGAUAAGUUAGAUGUGUAAUACCCAGGGCUUAACUCGGGUGCUGCAUCUAAUACUGUUAGACUAGAGUGCCGGAGAGGAUAGUGGAAUUCGUGGUGUAGCGGUGAAAUGCGUAGAGAUUAGGAGGAACAUCAGUGGCGAAGGCGGCUAUCUGGACAGCAACUGACACUGAGGCACGAAAGCGUGGGGAGCAAACAGGAUUAGAUACCCUGGUAGUC